AACGAACGCUGGCGGCAGGCUUAACACAUGCAAGUCGAGCGCCCCGCAAGGGGAGCGGCAGACGGGUGAGUAACGCGUGGGAAUCUACCGUGCCCUACGGAAUAGCUCCGGGAAACUGGAAUUAAUACCGUAUACGCCCUACGGGGGAAAGAUUUAUCGGGGUAUGAUGAGCCCGCGUUGGAUUAGCUAGUUGGUGGGGUAAAGGCCUACCAAGGCGACGAUCCAUAGCUGGUCUGAGAGGAUGAUCAGCCACAUUGGGACUGAGACACGGCCCAAACUCCUACGGGAGGCAGCAGUGGGGAAUAUUGGACAAUGGGCGCAAGCCUGAUCCAGCCAUGCCGCGUGAGUGAUGAAGGUCUUAGGAUUGUAAAGCUCUUUCACCGGUG
rnacentral:rRNA from 1 species